AUCCAGCUGACGAAUCUAAAAUAGGACGAAACGCCUGUGUUGGAU
rnacentral:hammerhead_ribozyme from 1 species